UGCUGUGACCAUACCAACACUAAAGCACUCAUCAGAACUCUGGAGUUGAGCAAGAGUAGCACUAGGAUGGGUGACCUCUCGGGAUGUCCUUGUGUGGCAUCCC
rnacentral:rRNA from 1 species